rnacentral:rRNA from 1 species
UACGUAGGGUGCAAGCGUUGUCCGGAAUUAUUGGGCGUAAAGGGCUCGUAGGCGGUCCGUCACGUCGGGAGUGAAAACUUGGGGCUUAACCCCAAGCCUGCUUCCGAUACGGGCGGACUAGAGGUAGGCAGGGGAGAACGGAAUUCCUGGUGUAGCGGUGAAAUGCGCAGAUAUCAGGAGGAACACCAGUGGCGAAGGCGGCUAUCUGGACGGUUUCUGACGCUAAGACGCGAAAGCGUGGGGAGCAAACAGG